UUGGAAUUCUGAGAUUUGUAGAGUGGAUUUGGGAGUCUAGCUCAGGGGUUUAAUCAAGGAACUGGAGCAAGAUUUAAGGUGUUAAGCUAGGGCUCGAGGAUCGGAUCGCGCUCAAGGAGUAUCGCCCGUAACUAACUCAUCUGAAAGCUAAAGGUAAAGGCAAGGGCAAGUUAGAUCAGCCCUGACUGGAGAGCUCGGCGAGCGGAAUGUACAUAGCUAGGUGCUCGGCUGCCACGGUUGAGAUCUAGGCAAGGACAUGGAACCUAAAGACUGUCUGUUUUGCCUUAGUAUGGCUAGUGGAUACUUAUGUACUUUUGGAAAUCUGUAAACUUAGUUUAACUUUGUGUUUAUGGGAUCCCUUGUUUAUUACAGUUUAAAUAUAUGAAAUGAGUCUUUUGAGACCGAAA